UCCGAGUUGACCCCGGCAGUCUCCCGUGAGUCCCCGGCAGCCCCGAAGGGCCCCGCUGGCAACACAGGACAAGGGUUGCGCUCGUUGCGGGACUUAACCCAACAUCUCACGACACGAGCUGACGACGGCCAUGCAGCACCUGUCUUACAGUUCCCGAAGGCACCAAUCCAUCUCUGGAAAGUUCUGUAGAUGUCAAGGCCAGGUAAGGUUCUUCGCGUUGCGUCGAAUUAAACCACAUGCUCCACCGCUUGUGCGGGCCCCCGUCAAUUCCUUUGAGUUUCAGCCUUGCGGCCGUACUCCCCAGGCGGGGUGCUUAACGCGUUAGCUGCGACACUGACGGGGUCGCUCCCCCCAGCAUCUAGCACCCAUCGUUUACGGCGUGGACUAC
rnacentral:misc_RNA from 1 species